GGCGGCGUGAAGGGUGCAGACAUGCUAACCCGCCCUACGACAGUUUUCAAAAUAGUUCACUGUACCCCUACCACUACACAAAAACGUCGUCUAUAUCUAAAGUUACGUCUCAACCCAUUGCAAGUAUGUACAAACUUAUGAACUAUUCUCAAAAGGAUCAUAGAGAUAUCCAGGGGUCGGACAAAAAGUGCGGAGUAAGCUUUAAGCAGGCAAAUUCUCUCAAAUCAUUUUGCGGCUACUGCACUUAGCCAUUCUUUGUAAAGAUAAGAAGUUAGUGCAGUGUAGCUGGGAAGGAGUCAGACCAAGAAAAGUCUGCAGCGGAUUUGAUAGCCCACGCAGUGCACGUGUUAUUUUAAACGUCAUAUUUCUAUGAAAUUGUGACGUAUAAAUAACACUUACACUGCGUGGGCUAUCAAAUCCGCUGCAGACUUUCCUUGGUCCGACUCUAGCUGUCUAGCAGUAGCUUGUCCUUACUGAAGGAAAUGUAGAGCUACAUCCAAAAGUCCAGUCCUAUAUUAUAAGAGGCGGUACAGGUCGACGUCAAAUAUAUGUUUACACUUCUGCAUCUUAUUCCAAUGGAAUAAGGUGCAAAAGUGUAAACAUAUCUUCGACGUCGACUGAACAAUACUC